rnacentral:rRNA from 1 species
GUGUCAGCAGCCGCGGUAAUACGUAGGUGGCAAGCGUUAUCCGGAAUUAUUGGGCGUAAAGCGCGCGCAGGCGGUCUCUUAAGUCUGAUGUGAAAGCCCACGGCUCAACCGUGGAGGGUCAUUGGAAACUGGGAGACUUGAGUGCAGGAGAGAAAAGUGGAAUUCCACGUGUAGCGGUGAAAUGCGUAGAGAUGUGGAGGAACACCAGUGGCGAAGGCGGCUUUUUGGCCUGUAACUGACGCUGAGGCGCGAAAGCGUGGGGAGCAAACAGGAUUAGAUACCCCAGUAGUCC